AUUAUCCCAAGUAGCACGGGGCCCGAGAAAUCCCGUGUGAAUCUGUCAGGACCACCUGAUAAGCCUAAAUACUCCCAGAUGACCGAUAGCGGACAAGUACCGUGAGGGAAAGGUGAAAAGUACCCCGGGAGGGGAGUGAAAUAGAACCUGAAACCGGAUGCGUACAAGCAGUCAGAGCCCGCAAGGGUGAUGGCGUACCUUUUGUAUAAUGGGUCAGCGAGUUUCUGUUGGCAGCGAGCUUAAGCCGUUAGGUGUAGGCGCAGCGAAAGCGAGUCUUAAUAGGGCGCAUGAGUUCGUGGGAUCAGACCCGAAACCGAGUGAUCUAGCCAUGGCCAGGCUGAAG
rnacentral:rRNA from 1 species